rnacentral:rRNA from 1 species
AGGAAGCAGGUUAAUAUUCCUGCACUUUUCUUAAGUGCGAUGUGGGGACGGAGAAGGUUAGGUCUACCAGGCGUUGGUUGUCCUGGGGAAAGGAGGUAGGCGGUGAUCUUAGGCAAAUCCGGGAUCACUUACGCCGAGCACCGAGACGAGUCCUAUGAGGACGAAGUGACUGACACCACGCUUCCAGGAAAAGCCACUAAGCUUCAGCUUAAGAAAAACCGUACCGCAAACCGACACAGGUAGGCAGGGUGAGAAUCCCAAGGCGCUUGAGAGAACUCGGGUGAAGGAACUAGGCAAAAUGGCACCGUAACUUCGGGAGAAGGUGCGCCCUUUGGUGUGGUCACGUCGUGACUGAGCAUCGAAGGGUCGCAGUAACCUGGCCGCUGCGACUGUUUAUCAAAAACACAGCACUCUGCAAACACGAAAGUGGACGUAUAGGGUGUGACGCCUGCCCGGUGCUGGAAGGUUAAUUGAUGGGGUCAGCCGCAAGGCGAAGCUCUUGAUCGAAGCCCCAGUAAACGGCGGCCGUAACAAUAACGGUCCUAAGGUAGCGAAAUUCCUUGUCGGGUAAGUUCCGACCUGCACGAAUGGCGUAACGACAGCGGCGCUGUCUCCACCCGAGACUCAGUGAAAUUGAAAUCGCUGUGAAGAUGCAGCGUUCCCGCGGCAAGACGGAAAGACCCCGUGAACCUUUACUAUAGCUUUACACUGAACGUUGAGUUCUUCUGUGUAGGAUAGGUGGGAGGCUAUGAAACCAGGACGCUAGUUCUGGUGGAGCCAUCCUUGAAAUACCACCCUGAAGUGCUUGACGUUCUAACCUAGGCCCGUAAUCCGGGUCAGGGACCGUGUAUGGUGGGUAGUUUGACUGGGGCGGUCUCCUCCCAAAGAGUAACGGAGGAGCACGAAGGUACGCUCAGCGCGGUCGGACAUCGCGCACUGUGUGCAAAGGCAUAAGCGUGCUUGACUGCGAGAUCGACGGAUCAAGCAGGUACGAAAGUAGGUCUUAGUGAUCCGGUGGUUCUGUAUGGAAGGGCCAUCGCUCAACGGAUAAAAGGUACUCCGGGGAUAACAGGCUGAUACCGCCCAAGAGUUCAUAUCGACGGCGGUGUUUGGCACCUCGAUGUCGGCUCAUCACAUCCUGGGGCUGUAGCCGGUCCCAAGGGUAUGGCUGUUCGCCAUUUAAAGUGGUACGCGAGCUGGGUUCAGAACGUCGUGAGACAGUUCGGUCCCUAUCUGUCGUGGGCGUUGGAGAUUUGAGGGGGGCUGCUCCUAGUACGAGAGGACCGGAGUGGACGUUCCGCUGGUGUUCGGGUUGUCAUGCCCAUGGCAUUGCCCGGUAGCUACGAACGGAAGUGAUAACCGCUGAAAGCAUCUAAGCGGGAAGCACGCCCCAAGAUGAGAUCUCCCGAGAGCUUGACUCUCCUAAAGGCACCAUCAAGACUAGGUGGUUGAUAGGUCAGGUGUGGAAGCGCAGCAAUGCGUUGAGCUAACUGAUACUAAUGAGCCGUGAGGCUUGACCAA